rnacentral:rRNA from 1 species
AGAGUUUGAUCCUGGCUCAGGACGAACGCUGGCGGCGUGCCUAACACAUGCAAGUCGAGCGGGGAUAUACGGAAGGUUUACCGGAAGUAUAUCCUAGCGGCGGACGGGUGAGUAACGCGUGGGUAACCUACCUCAUACAGGGGGAUAACACAGGGAAACCUGUGCUAAUACCGCAUAACAUAACGGGGCGGCAUCGUCCUGUUAUCAAAGGAGAAAUCCGGUAUGAGAUGGGCCCGCGUCCGAUUAGCUAGUUGGUGAGGUAACGGCUCACCAAGGCGACGAUCGGUAGCCGAACUGAGAGGUUGGUCGGCCACAUUGGGACUGAGACACGGCCCAGACUCCUACGGGAGGCAGCAGUGGGGAAUAUUGCGCAAUGGGGGAAACCCUGACGCAGCAACGCCGCGUGAAGGAAGAAGGCCUUCGGGUUGUAAACUUCUUUGAUUGGGGACGAAGGAAGUGACGGUACCCAAAGAACAAGCCACGGCUAACUACGUGCCAGCAGCCGCGGUAAUACGUAGGUGGCGAGCGUUGUCCGGAAUUACUGGGUGUAAAGGGCGCGUAGGCGGGGAUGCAAGUCAGAUGUGAAAUUCCGGGGCUUAACCCCGGCGCUGCAUCUGAAACUGUAUCUCUUGAGUGCUGGAGAGGAAAGCGGAAUUCCUAG